ACGGGUGAGUAACGCGUGGAUAACCUGCCGUAUACAGGGGGAUAACACUUAGAAAUAGGUGCUAAUACCGCAUAAGCGCACGGUUCCGCAUGGAACAGUGUGAAAAACUCCGGUGGUAUACGAUGGAUCCGCGUCUGAUUAGCCAGUUGGCGGGGUAACGGCCCACCAAAGCGACGAUCAGUAGCCGGCCUGAGAGGGUGAACGGCCACAUUGGGACUGAGACACGGCCCAAACUCCUACGGGAGGCAGCAGUGGGGAAUAUUGCACAAUGGGGGAAACCCUGAUGCAGCGACGCCGCGUGAGUGAAGAAGUAUCUCGGUACGUAAAGCUCUAUCAGCAGGGAAGAAAAUGACGGUACCUGAUUAAGAAGCCCCGGCUAACUACGUGCCAGCAGCCGCGGUAAUACGUAGGGGGCAAGCGUUAUCCGGAUUUACUGGGUGUAAAGGGAGCGUAGACGGCAGCGCAAGUCUGGAGUGAAAUGCCGGGGCCCAACCCCGGAACUGCUUUGGAAACUGUGCAGCUCGAGUGCAGGAGAGGUAAGCGGAAUUCCUAGUGUAGCGGUGAAAUGCGUAGAUAUUAGGAGGAACACCAGUGGCGAAGGCGGCUUACUGGACUGUAACUGACGUUGAGGCUCGAAAGCGUGGGGAGCAAACAGGAUUAGAUACCCUGGUAGUCCACGCCGUAAACGAUGAUUACUAGGUGUCGGGGGGCCAAGGCCCUCCGGUGCCGGCGCAAACG
rnacentral:rRNA from 1 species